UACGUAGGGGGCAAGCGUUGUCCGGAUUUAUUGGGCGUAAAGAGCGUGUAGGCGGCCAAGCAGGUCAGCUGUGAAAACUCGAGGCUCAACCUCGAGACGUCGGUUGAAACCGCUUGGCUAGAGUCCGGAAGAGGAGAGUGGAAUUCCCGGUGUAGCGGUGAAAUGCGCAGAUAUCGGGAAGAACACCCGUGGCGAAGGCGGCUCUCUGGGACGGUACUGACGCUGAGACGCGAAAGCGUGGGGGAGCGAACAGG
rnacentral:rRNA from 1 species